rnacentral:rRNA from 1 species
AUUGAACGCUGGCGGUAGGCUUAACACAUGCAAGUCGAACGAGUGGCGGACGGGUGAGUAAUGUCUGGGAAACUGCCUGAUGGAGGGGGAUAACUACUGGAAACGGUAGCUAAUACCGCAUACCAUCGGAUGUGCCCAGAUGGGUUUAGUUAGUUGGUGGGGUAAAGGCUCACCUAGGCGACGAUCCCUAGCUGGUCUGAGAGGAUGACCAGCCACACUGGAACGGAAACAGGGUCCGGACGCCUACGGGAGGGAGCAGUGGGGAAUAUUACACAGUGGGCGCAAGCCUGGUGCAGCCAUGCCGAGUGUAUUAAGAAGGCCUUCGGGUUGUAAAGUACUUUCAGCGGGGAGGCGUUACCCGCAGAAGAAGCACCGGCUAACUCCGUGCCAGCAGCCGCGGUAAUAC